UGAGCAAUCUGCCCUUCUCAUCGGAAUAAGCGUUGGAAACGACGUCUAAUGCCGAAUACGACCUCCUUUCGCAUGAUCGGAGGUGGAAAGCUCCGGCGGAGAAGGAUGAGCUCGCGGCCUAUCAGCUAGUUGGUGUGGGUAAUGGCCCACCAAGGCGACGACGGGUAGCCGGCCUGAGAGGGUGACCGGCCACACUGGGACUGAGACACGGCCCAGACCUCCGUACGGGAGGCAGCG
rnacentral:rRNA from 1 species